AUCUUAGAUAGAGGUGCGGGUUUUAUCAGUACUCUAAAGCAAUGGCCGGAUCGCCGUUUUAGAGGAAAGGAAAAACCGCCGAAGAGUUUUGACGCCGGUCCGGGUGUCGCAGCUCUGGGACGCCAUAGAAAAUAUGGCGUACUGUCACAGUUUGUGGAGCGCUAUCAGGUUU
rfam:Blautia hydrogenotrophica CAG:147 genomic scaffold, scf158